CAGUUGAGGAAGGUGGGUAUGUUAAUAGCAUAUUCAUUUGACAUUAGCUGCAGAAGAAGCUACCGGCUAACUCCGUGCCUAGCAGCCGCGGUAAUACGGAGGGUGCGAGCGUUAAUCGGAAUUACUGGGUGUAAAGCGCAUGCAGGUGGUUUGUUAAGUCAGAUGUGAAAGCCCCGGGGCUCAACCUCGGAAUUGCAUUUGAAACUGGCAAACUAGAGUACUGUAGAGGGGGUAGAAUUUCAGGUGUAGCGGUGUAAAUGCGUAGAGAUCUGAAGGAAUACCGGUGGCGAAGGCGGCCCCCUGGACAGAUACUGACACUCAGAUGCGAAAGCGUGGGGAGCAAACAGGAUUAGAUACCCCUGGUAG
rnacentral:rRNA from 1 species